rnacentral:ribozyme from 1 species
AGAAACAAAAAGAGUCACAAAAGAAAAAAUGAAGAAGAGGAAAACACAGUAGUACGGCAUUCAGUCUGUUUCUCAUGCAAUUGAAACCUCUUUAACCUUAACCCUAUUCCUCCCUGCUGAA